AGAACGAACGCUGGCGGCAUGCCUAAUACAUGCAAGUCGAACGAACACUUCGGUGUUAGUGGCGCACGGGUGCGUAACGCGUGGGAAUCUGCCCUUGGGUUCGGAAUAACAGUUGGAAACGACUGCUAAUACCGGAUGAUAUUGAAAGAUCAAAGUAUUUAUCG
rnacentral:rRNA from 1 species